AUAUCAGUCAUGCAUAGCAUAUCAAUAAGCGGAGGAAAAGAAACUAACAAGGAUUCCCUUAGUAACGGCGAGUGAAGCGGGAAGAGCUCAAAUUUGAAAUCUUCAAGGUUUUACCUUGACGAAUUGUAGUUUAAAGAAGUGUUUUCUGUUGAAGUUUUGGUAAAAGUUCUUUGGAAUAGGACAUCAUAGAGGGUGAGAAUCCCGUAUUUGACCAUUACUUUCAGCUUUGUGAUACACUUUCAAAGAGUCGGAUUGUUUGGGAAUGCAGUCCAAAAUGGGUGGUAAAUUUCAUCUAAAGCUAAAUAUUGGCGAGAGACCGAUAGCGAACAAGUACCGUGAGGGAAAGAUGAAAAGAACUUUGAAAAGAGAGUUAAACAGUACGUGAAAUUGUCAAAAGGGAAGCGUUUGACACCAGUGUUGUUUUCUCGAAAAUCAAUUAAAAAGAGUUGGAUUUUGUGUUGUAUUGACUUUAUCAGCUUUCUUCACUCUUUUCCAGCUUUUUUUAAUGCACUUUUCGUUUAACAAGUCAACAUCAGGUUUCUUUUGUUGUAAAAAGGUCAUUGGAAGGUGGCUUUCUCUUCGGAGAAAGUGUUUAUAGCCUUUGACUCAUGCAAUCGGAGAGACUGAGGUCUGCAGCGUAGAUCCUUCGGGGUUAGAUACAUUUGUGCUGAGUUAUAGCUUUUCAUAGACAACUUGUUGACUAUGUUUAGUCUUGUAGCUUACUCGCUUAUGCUAUUUUACCUACGCUUAGGAUGUUGAACUCUAUCACACACAG
rnacentral:rRNA from 1 species